rnacentral:rRNA from 1 species
CCUACGGGGGACAGCAGUGAGGAAUAUUGGUCAAUGGGCUGACGCCUGAACCAGCCAAGUAGCGUGCAGGAUGACGGCCCUACGGGUUGUAAACUGCUUUUAUACGGGAAUAACGCGCCUUACGUGUAGGGCUUUUCAUGUACCGUAUGAAUAAGGACCGGCCAAUUCUGUGCCAGCAGCCGCGGUAACACGGAAGGGCCGGGCGUUAUCCGGAUUUAUUGGGUUUAAAGGGAUCGUAGGCCGCAUUGCAAGCUUGCCGUGAAAUUUCCGGGCUCAACCCGGGCCUUGCAGCGCGAACUGGCGUGCUUGAGUCCGCGGAAAGCAGGCGGAAUUCGUCGUGUAGCGGUGAAAUGCUUAGAUAUGACGAAGAACCCCGAUUGCGAAGGCAGCUUGCUGCAGCGGAACUGACGCUGAUGCUCGAAAGCGCGGGUAUCGAACAGGAUUAGAUACCCGGGUAGUC